GACGAACGCUGGCGGCGUGCCUAAUACAUGCAAGUAGAACGCUGAAGGAGGAGCUUGCUUCUCUGGAUGAGUUGCGAACGGGUGAGUAACGCGUAGGUAACCUGCCUGGUAGCGGGGGAUAACUAUUGGAAACGAUAGCUAAUACCGCAUAAUAGUAGAUGUUGCAUGACAUUUGCUUAAAAGGUGCAAUUGCAUCACUACCAGAUGGACCUGCGUUGUAUUAGCUAGUUGGUGAGGUAACGGCUCACCAAGGCAACGAUACAUAGCCGACCUGAGAGGGUGAUCAGCCACACUGGGACUGAGACACGGCCCAGACUCCUACGGGAGGCAGCAGUAGGGAAUCUUCGGCAAUGGACGGAAGUCUGACCGAGCAACGCCGCGUGAGUGAAGAAGGUUUUCGGAUCGUAAAGCUCUGUUGUAAGAGAAGAACGAGUGUGAGAGUGGAAAGUUCACACUGUGACGGUAUCUUACCAGAAAGGGACGGCUAACUACGUG
rnacentral:rRNA from 1 species